rnacentral:rRNA from 1 species
UACGUAGGGGGCAAGCGUUAUCCGGAUUUACUGGGUGUAAAGGGAGCGUAGACGGAUUAGCAAGUCUGAUGUGAAAGGCAGGGGCUCAACCUCUGGACUGCAUUGGAAACUGCCAGUCUUGAGUGCCGGAGAGGUAAGCGGAAUUCCUAGUGUAGCGGUGAAAUGCGUAGAUAUUAGGAGGAACACCAGUGGCGAAGGCGGCUUACUGGACGGCAACUGACGUUGAGGCUCGAAAGCGUGGGGAGCAAACAGG